UAAGAGUUCGUGUAUACUGGUUUGGACCUGCUUGCACUCAGCUCUGGAUCCCUUCCCCGCUGCUGGGUUUGCUGGGUUUCCCAGGCAGACGAGCUGCUGGGGCUCCGCUGAUGGGAGGCACCUCCCAUUCAAAGGUGGGAAGGAAGGACAAUCAGAGUAUUUCUGAGAGUAUAUCCCCCUCUUCCCCAGUUUGAAGCCCCAGAAGCUUCCUCAUUUCUGUGGCUCUGGUCCCCACCAGACAGGCCUGCUGGGGCUCUAACUACCACUCCUAAGGAGCAAGGCCACCUCCACCCUCUGUUCUCAGAGGGAAGAAUGGCAGUGGCUUCCUGCUGUUGCUAAUCUCUGUCUGUGUCACCACACUCUGCUCUCCAGCCCCUCCAACACCUGGACAUCUGACUCUGCACUGAAUUUGCUUCCUUGUAAACACCCAAGUGCUUUCUGCUUUCCUGGUUGGAUCCCACCUGACACUGUGGCAGUGCAUCCCAUGGAUGAUUUUCUAUCUUGACAGCUGAUUCGGUGGCUGGCAUCCCCUCUUUCCUGAUUUUGUCUCCUGGUAGAACGGGGUUCCUCAGCUCCAGCACUAUUCACUCACUGGGUUGGGUAGUUCUUUGCUGGGAGGGGCUGUCCUGUGCAUUGUAGGCAACUUAGCAGCAUCCCUAGCUCUACCCAGGAGAUUCCAGGAGCACCUCUACAGUCAUAAUAAUAAAAAAUGUCCCUAAACAUGGCAAAAUGUCCCCUAAGGGGGGAAAAUACCUUCCCCGGUUGAGAACAGAUACUAAAGGGGAUUUGGUAGCCAUGGCUCUGUGCAUACACUUUGGUUGCUCCUGGUCAGCGAAUGGGGCUUCGGGGCAUAGACGGCCAGGGCUCUGAUCAGUGGGCCCUUGGUGGCCUCUUCUAAUGACUACCAUGGAUUCUCAAGACAGAGGGAGAAAAAGCCAUGUGGACUCUAAAGACAAAAGAACCAGUCUCCUUCCUCACUGGGGAAAAUGAUGGCCUAGGCUGGACUGUGGCUGCGAUUAGGACACAGGAUUCUCACUUCCUCUAUCUCUUCCUUAAGGACAUUUAGAAAACGUGGAGACUGGAGCCUCCAGUUUGAGAAGGUGUCUGAUGCUCACUCCAGCCCACUUCCCUUGAACACCUACUUACUACACUGCUCUUCUGGCCAUAACCCAGCUCUGACUGAGGAAAUACAAAUGCCGUGCAAUGAACUGGCUCACACAAAUGAAAAGUCUCAAGCUUCCUGUAGGCAUGGUGAGAUCCAGCUACUUUUAGAAACUGACAUCUGAAUCUCUCUCUCUCUCUGUUGUCUCUCUGUCCCUCUUUUCACUCUGUACUGGUUUUCUUCACAGACAGACCCUCUCUCCCUGGUAGUCCCCAAAAGCUCUAACCUUCAUCGUUUUUGCAACUGCAUCGUAGCGGUAAAACACUUCCAGAGGUGAUUCUCACUGGCUC
rnacentral:lncRNA from 12 species